ACGAAGGGGGCUAGCGUUGCUCGGAAUUACUGGGCGUAAAGGGCGCGUAGGCGGAUCGUUAAGUCAGAGGUGAAAUCCCGGAGCUCAACUUCGGAACUGCCUUUGAUACUGGCGAUCUUGAGUGUGAGAGAGGUAUGUGGAACUCCGAGUGUAGAGGUGAAAUUCGUAGAUAUUCGGAAGAACACCAGUGGCGAAGGCGACAUACUGGCUCAUUACUGACGCUGAGGCGCGAAAGCGUGGGGAGCAAACAG
rnacentral:rRNA from 1 species